rnacentral:misc_RNA from 1 species
UUAAUAUUUAUUAUUAACUGAAGUUACUGCUACUACAAAGGGUUUUGAUGUCCUCAUGGCGGGCAAGCCCACCGAGGAAACAAGGGUACUCAUAAACAAAGGGUGCUAUCUCAAUGGGGCCGAAGCCCCACGGUAAUGAUCCUUCCGCAGGUUCACCUACGGAAA